CUCUGAGAAGCAUUUAUAACAGCUGGCAUGAUAUAUUUUUAGCUUUAGCUUCCUUCCCCUUUGGGGGAAACUUUUUUUAGUAUGGCACUGGCCUUCCUGAUACAUACUACAUUGUAAACAUGGCUCAGUGGUAUCUCAGAGGACUUGAUGUUGCCACCGGCUGAUCCUUCUCCUGUUUCCAAGAGUGCAGGGUUUUACAGGACUAUGAUUUUCCUCAUCAUGGCUAGUGUCUGUUUUCGAGGUCUUGGGGAAGAAUGAUCAGAAAAGUGCUGUAGUGAGCAAGAAGCCUGCUAGCUGAUCGUGUGUUGGAAAUCCCUCUGCCUGGAAAAAGGCAGAGACCUCCAUGGGCUGCGUGCACCUUGGGUCAUGAGGCUGUGCCCUCCAUCCCCCAUCCAGGAGGAUUUUUUUAGACUUCAAUGACAGUGAGGGUUAUUAAACACUAGAUGAGCUACAGAGGAAGACAGUUGUGUUCUCAUUCCCCACCAGACUUUAAAAAUAGGAUGGAUUCUGGCUGGAAUAAAUGGCUUAAGUUGUACUAGCCUGGAAGAGGGGAGGAGGAAAGGGGAGAUGAGCAGGAUGGCUUCUGUAAGACCCUUUUUGAGCCCUGUAGUCUUAUGAUUUCUAUUAUUUCACAAGAAUUAGAAUCAUAGACUAACUAUAGCUGUUCUACAAACAGACAAGAAAACUUUUAAAUUUGCAUUUACUGAUUUUUUUUUCUUUUAAGAUUUUCAGGGUAAACUCAGGUUACACUAAAGAAAGAUGUCUCAUGACUGUAGCUUACACAUAUCUUUGAUAUCUUUAAUUUCAAAAAAAUUAAACCCCCAAAUUUCAUGGUCUCGGGUUCCAAAGUGAGGGUAAAUCUUCGUGGCAUCAACUGUUGUCAAUCUACGGUAUAUUUUCUAACUCUUAAACACUAAAUCUCAUUCCUGCCAUCCCCCUUCCCCACCCCAGCUCUCAGCAUCCCCCAUCCCCACGCCAGCUCUCAACAUUCUAUUAGGUAAAAUACAUUCUCAGAAAAUCUCAGGUAUCAGUCAAUUAAGGGCAGGGUGUGGAGAUGGGGAAGCCAGGUGAGCAGGGGGCUCCCAAAUCUGGAAAAUGCUAUAAAGGGUUUUUGUGCGUUGGAGGAAGGCUAAAACUCCCAACAUACUCCAGGGUAGUCAUUCCUUGCUAAAAAUUUGGACCAUUUCCACCGACAAAUUCCAUGGCUAGAACUAGACAGUAAAGCCAAUGGCAGUACAGGGUUUGCUUUAGAGAUUUGUUUCACAGCCAGCCUUUCUGAGAGGCAUCCUUUUGGAAAAGCCCAGCAAAACCCAUAUGGAGCUAAAAGAUUUAUAAUGGAUUACUUUAUGCUUUAGUCUACUGCUUUGCACAGCAAGACAUUGCUAUUGCUAUAUAAAGAGAAUUAAUUAUAAGGCUGUGAAUGGUGUUUUAGAGAUUCAAGUUGGGGCAUAAACAAUGAGGCAGGCUUGAUCAAGAACAACUUUGAAGUCAGACAAGUUGGUUUUAAAGUCCAGUUUUUCCAACAGCUAGAUGCCUGGUUAUGGACAAGUUACCUGACCUCUAAGCCUCCUUUCCUCCUCCAUGCAAUGAAAAUAAAUUUCAGUAGAAGGCUUCUUAAUUGACUUGAUCCGGAUGCGUAGUUGAUGCAUUCAUUGCAAUAACUGUUUAAAGAAGGGAAUCAUAAGAAAUAAGACUUUAAAUGUAUAAUUUUAUCUUAAAACAUAAAUAUAUCCAUUUGCAGUCUUUCAUAUAGCAUGGAUAGCCUUUCCUCUGGGAAUAGAGUAUCUGACAGGUUACUGUAUGUCUUUCCUGCAUAAGUCUCACCCUUAAUGCAUCAUUGUCUUUGAUUUCUUUAAAAUGGAGCAGGAAUUUAAAGGCAUUUGCAAAAACAUCAGAGCACAGACUCUUUCUAGACUCUAGUUUUUCUUUUUACAAUUUAGCUUGUAGUUUUCUCACUCACACUGAAUUCAACAGUAGAUUUUUAAGCAAAAGUAAUGAAUAUUUCUAAAGCAUUUAACUACAUUUUUUUUUGCAGUUAACUUUAUAACUUGUAUAGAGCUUCCUGCUAUAUUCAACAUUAACUGCAUACUACGUGAAGAAGCUAAUAUGGUUUUGAUCCCCCUCAUUUUAAAAAGACUGUGAAAACCAGUAACUGCUACCUGAAGUGUGAAUGGAAGAUCUGUGGACAGGGGUAGGUGGGGGAAUUAUUUCUCAUUCUACUGUUUGAAGUAAGUACCAUGUUAAUGCCAUGUAUUACCUGUUAAAAA